GAGUCUGUUUCUAAAACGACAACGACAAAAAAACAAACAAGCAAAAAAAAUUUGAUAAUAAUUAAUAAUAAUUAAUAAUAAUAAUUGUAUUUCCAUAAGCGGUGUAAUUUUUUUUUUCCAGUGUAGCUGCAGCUCUGUUGUACAAUAGAGAACUUUUUAUAAUCAAGCCCAAAUGUGAUUCCUCAAAGAUGCUUUUCCCAAAUUUCCCCAUCCCAGCGACUCCAAGGUGCUUCGGAGAAGAGAGGAAAAAAAAAAAGAAACAAACCCCGAAGUUUCUGGAAAAUUCCCCCCGGAUCCGGUGGCAAUUCCUGGGUUUAAUUUAUUUUUUUAGGGGUUGUUUUUUUUUUGGAUAUUUUUGUCAUUUUAUUUCCCUUUUCCCGCUUCCUCUGCAGCCCUCGGGGUCAGAUUUUCCCGCUGGACGCGGAUUCGGGAAGGGGAGGAUGGGAAUUCCCUUGGGAUGGCUUUGGGAGGGAGAUCCUGUCCUGGAAAUUCGGGAAAUUCGGGAAAAUCGGGAUCUGCCAGCGGGGGAAGGGAGGUGUCCCGAGCCAGGCCGGGUUUGGAGCGGGAUUCCCUGGCUUUUCCAUGGGAUCGGGAAUUCGGGAUGAGCCCAGCGCUGCCCUCCGCAUUCAGGGAAUUCCCGGAAUUCCUGGGAGAGAGAGGAGAGAGCAGCGGGAUCUGGGAAUUCCCGGAAUUCCUGGGAGAGGAGAGAGCAGCGGGAUCAGGGAAUUCCCGGAAUUCCUGGGAGAGGAGAGAGCAGCGGGAUCAGGGAAUUCCCGGAAUUCCUGGGAGAGAGCAGCGGGAUCAGGGAAUUCCCGGAAUUCCUGGGAGAGGAGAGAGCAGCGGGAUCAGGGAAUUAGAGGAGAGAGCAGCGGGAUCUGGGAAUUCCCGGAAUUCCUGGGAGAGGAGAGAGCAGCGGGAUCAGGGAAUUCCUGGAAUUCCUGGGAUUCCGGAGAGAGCAGCGGGAUCAGGGAAUUCCCGGAAUUCAGCGGGAUCAGGGAAUUCCCGGAAUUCCUGCCCGGUUUUUGGGACAGGGGGAUUUUUGGGAUGAAGCUGUUCCCCAGCCCGGGAUGUUCCCAGAUGGUUUUUAGGGACAGAGUCGGGGAUUUGGGGCAAUUCCAGGUCCAGGCUGGAGCUGUUCCCGUGGGAAUUGCCCCGUUCCAGGCUGGGAUUCCCUGGGGCUCCCUCGGGACCCCCGGAGCCAGGAAAAUCCCGUUUUCCUGGGAAUUCCUCCCCUUUGUGCCGCUGUUCCCGUCCCGACCCCACCGAACUCCCCCGGGGGGGGAAUCCCGGCCUGAUCGCGGAUUUUGGGAUUCGUUCUCAGCCGGAAAAGGCGGAAUUCUCCCCCAGGACAAAGCUGGGUUGGGAAAACCUCUGGAAUUUGCUCCUCCCAAGGUUUUCCCAAUCCCGGAGUUGGGUUUUCCCAUUCAUUGGAAACUCCGGGACCGUUCUGGGUCCAAACCCCUCAUUUUUGGCUGAACCGAGGCCCCUCAGAAAUGACAUUUUUAAACCAUUUUCUCCACAAUAAUUAACCCUCCCCACCCCGUUCCCUCCUGGCAGGAAAAAAUUCCAAUCCUGAAUUCCCAACCGCUGCAAUUCCCUGGAAUUCUCUGCCUUCCACCCCUGCCAUUCCCUGCUCAGGCCUGGGAUAAUCUGAUUUUUAAACGCCGGGAAAGCCCCAAACGGACGAGCAAUAAUUUCUAUUCCAGGUUCUUUUCCCCCUUCCCAAUAAAUCCUCCGGCAUUCCAGGCUGCUCUCCCGAG
ensembl:lncRNA